rnacentral:hammerhead_ribozyme from 1 species
AUCAAGCUGAUGAGUCCUGGAUAGGACGAAACGCGCGUCAAACCGGAU